AAUCCAUAGGUUAAUGAGGCGAACCGGGGGAACUGAAACAUCUAAGUACCCCGAGGAAAAGAAAUCAACCGAGAUUCCCCCAGUAGCGGCGAGCGAACGGGGAGGAGCCCAGAGCCUGAAUCAGCAUGUGUGUUAGUGGAAGCGUCUGGAAAGGCGCGCGAUACAGGGUGACAGCCCCGUACACAAAAGCGCAUGUGCUGUGAGCUCGAUGAGUAGGGCGGGACACGUGGUAUCCUGUCUGAAUAUGGGGGGACCAUCCUCCAAGGCUAAAUACUCCUGACUGACCGAUAGUGAACCAGUACCGUGAGGGAAAGGCGAAAAGAACCCCGGCGAGGGGAGUGAAAAAGAAUCUGAAACCGUGUACGUACAAGCAGUGGGAGCACCCUUUUGGGUGUGACUGCGUACCUUUUGUAUAAUGGGUCAGCGACUUAUAUUCUGUAGCAAGGUUAACCGAAUAGGGGAGCCGGAGGGAAACCGAGUCUUAAUUGGGCGUUAAGUUGCAGGGUAUAGACCCGAAACCCGGUGAUCUAGCCAUGGGCAGGUUGAAGGUUGGGUAACACUAACUGGAGGACCGAACCGACUAAUGUUGAAAAAUUAGCGGAUGACCUGUGGCUGGGGGUGAAAGGCCAAUCAAACCGGGAGAUAGCUGGUUCUCCCCGAAAGCUAUUUAGGUAGCGCCUCGUGAAUUCAUCUCCGGGGGUAGAGCACUGUUUCGGCUAGGGGGCCAUCCCGGCUUACCAACCCGAUGCAAACUGCGAAUACCGGAGAAUGUUAUCACGGGAGACACACGGCGGGUGCUAACGUCCGUCGUGAAGAGGGAAACAACCCAGACCGCCAGCUAAGGUCCCAAAGUCAUGGUUAAGUGGGAAACGAUGUGGGAAGGCCCAGACAGCCAGGAUGUUGGCUUAGAAGCAGCCAUCAUUUAAAGAAAGCGUAAUAGCUCACUGGUCGAGUCGGCCUGCGCGGAAGAUGUAACGGGGCUAAACCAU
rnacentral:rRNA from 1 species